AUCCCUUGAUGGUUUGAGUUAUCGAGGUUCAACUGUAAUUAACUUCAUUCUCAAAUAUUUCAAUUUUACUGUUACAAAAUUAAUCAUCUCUAGUUUAAUUAAUAUAUUAAUUCUGUUUAUCAAAAUUGGUUAAAUUUAUUUAGCAUAUUGUGUUGAAAUUCUCUUUUGUAUUUCAUUGUAUAGGGUGAUUUUUAUAGAACCAGCCCAAGAAAAUAAGCUGUAAUAUAAAAUAUAUCAUAUAAAUAUUAACAUAAUGUAUAUCUGGCCUAUCUUGGAUUGUGUACUAUUAAUUGUGAUCAGAGUAGCUGUUGAAAAUGCCUUCUGUUUCCAAGAAAGCAUGCCUCUAUUCACGUUUGCAAAUUUGCUAUGACUCGCCACAGUGUAUCUCUGAUGGUGAUCCUGAUUCAGCCGAAAUGUUGUUCUUUAAAUCUUUUAAUACAUGUGGUUUGUUUGCAUAUAACUAUCCUUCAGGAAAUCCCACAGAAAAAAACCAGGCUGUUAAGAUUGGGGGAUCUUAGAGGCCACAACCUUUUAGAAGUUGACACAGUCGGAGAAGUUCUCAGUUAGUUCCAUGGACAUAUUAGACUUAUAGCAUAUUGCUGAAUCUUGUUGAAAAUAACCAUUCCACAUCAUCCAACUGUUACACAAACUUAUCAAAAAUACGGCAGUAUAAGUUGCUGUUCGUGAUCAUGUCAAAGAAAAUUGGUCCAAUAAUUCAUAAACUAGAUAUGGGGCAUUACAUGGCAUUACAGAAUGCCCACCAUAUGGAAACCGACAUGGCAUUACAGAAUCAUCACUGAUGAUUCUGAUUGGUGAUCACUGGUGAUUCUGUAAUGUCAUAUAAGUUUUCAGAUGACCAAACCUGGAAUUUUGUGAGUUUACAUAUCCCGAUAAGUGGAACCAUGCUUCAUCACCAAAUCAAGUGAUAUCUAAAAUACUGGGAUUAUUGAAUGCAAAUUCCUGAAACCAGUUACUGUACUCAUUUCUCUUUAUCAGCAUCACAAAUUAUUAUGUCAUAAUUGUGAAUGGUUAUAUGCACUUCCUGCAGAAUUAUUACCAAAUUCAUCAGGCCAGUUCUAUAAGAAUCACCCUGUAUAAGAGACACGAUGGUCC
rnacentral:lncRNA from 1 species